AGCCCCUGCUCAAAGUGUGACAUGUGGGCCACCUGCAUGAGAAUCACGGUGUUAAAAUGCAGAUCCACAUCACCAGCUUUGUCCAAGCUGGGCCACAAAGGACACAUCAAAAGAAGCAUCUGAAGCAUAGACUAUGAUGGGUUAUAAACGCAGCGCCCGGAGAAGCCGGGCAGGGAACGAGGACCCAGAUGACCUCCUCCAUUCAGGGACUGAGAGCCCUCUGGCUCUGAGUUUGCCGUCCCUUCCGAUUAGUUGGUGCUUGUGCUCUGUCGAGAGAGACACAGCAAGAGAGGG